rnacentral:rRNA from 1 species
UCGGGUAAGUUCCGACCUGCACGAAUGGCGUAAUGAUGGCCAGGCUGUCUCCACCCGAGACUCAGUGAAAUUGAACUCGCUGUGAAGAUGCAGUGUACCCGCGGCAAGACGGAAAGACCCCGUGAACCUUUACUAUAGCUUGACACUGAACAUUGAGCCUUGAUGUGUAGGAUAGGUGGGAGGCUUUGAAGUGUGGACGCCAGUCUGCAUGGAGCCGACCUUGAAAUACCACCCUUUAAUGUUUGAUGUUCUAACGUGGACCCGUAAUCCGGGUUGCGGACAGUGUCUGGUGGGUAGUUUGACUGGGGCGGUCUCCUCCUAAAGAGUAACGGAGGAGCACGAAGGUUGGCUAAUCCUGGUCGGACAUCAGGAGGUUAGUGCAAUGGCAUAAGCCAGCUUGACUGCGAGCGUGACGGCGCGAGCAGGUGCGAAAGCAGGUCAUAGUGAUCCGGUGGUUCUGAAUGGAAGGGCCAUCGCUCAACGGAUAAAAGGUACUCCGGGGAUAACAGGCUGAUACCGCCCAAGAGUUCAUAUCGACGGCGGUGUUUGGCACCUCGAUGUCGGCUCAUCACAUCCUGGGGCUGAAGUAGGUCCCAAGGGUAUGGCUGUUCGCCAUUUAAAGUGGUACGCGAGCUGGGUUUAGAACGUCGUGAGACAGUUCGGUCCCUA